rnacentral:rRNA from 1 species
AACGAACGUUAGCGGCGCGCCUAAUACCUGUAAGUCGAGCGAGAAAGGGAUUCGUCCCCAGUAAAGCGGCGCACGGGUGAGUAACACGUAGGUCAUCUACCCUCGGGUGGUGGAUAACAUUCCGAAAGGAGUGCUAAUACAGCAUAACACCGCAAGGACAAAGCGGGCCUCUCUAUAGAAGCUCGCGCCUGAGGAUGAGCCUGCGGCCCAUCAGCUAGUUGGCAGUGUAAAAGACUACCAAGGCUAAGACGGGUAGCUGGUCUGAGAGGAUGAACAGCCACACUGGAACUGAGACACGGUCCAGACUCCUACGGGAGGCAGCAGUAGGGAAUCUUGCGCAAUGGGCGAAAGCCUGACGCAGCGACGCCGCGUGAGUGAUGAAGGCCUUCGGGUUGUAAAGCUCUGUGGGGAGAGAAGAAUAAGUGCAAGCUAAUACUUUGCAUGAUGACGGUAUCUCCUUAGCAAGCACCGGCUAACUCCGUGCCAGCAGCCGCCGUAA